ACCUUGAGUUGGAUGUAUUACGAUUGUUAACGUAAUCUUAUAUAUCUAUAAAAACUUUUUGACUUCCGAGCACUCUUUGAUAAAUCGACGACAGGUUGGUUUAUACUAACCUUCUAACGAUUCCUUGAAACACUCUCCGAGUUCCAAAAGAUAUACAGUGACUCCGUAAAAGUCUGUGAUUUAUACAAUGGCGUUUAAACAAGAAAGGGUUUUAAACACCAUAAGUCAACCGUUAUGUUUUUACCAAACGAUCACUCUUAUUCCAACAUGUUUUCUACAGACUCCUUUACUUUGUCUUUAAACUGUUUAUAACCUUUCUACAUGUACCUGAAUACAGACAACGUUGACAAGAACUAGGUUCCAUGUUUGAAGUAUACAACGUUCGAGACAAACCAAGAGAGAUACCUUAACUUAUACGUCUACAAUUUCAACUACUUCAUUCCUUCAAUUACCGAUUAGACAACCUCGUUAUAGCUCUUCUACAACUUCAACACCGAUGUAGCCUUCGAUACCUGUGACGACGACGUGUUCAACCACCUCAACUACUACAUUACUUGUAGAAACUAGUUAUAUACAGGAGUUUUGGAUGCUAAACACGAAGAGUUCAAGCCUGUUUUAAUCUGAACAUGAACCUUCUCGUUUGGUAGUUCUCUCAUGGCCUGUUUCUAUACCUGUAGUAUUUAACCACCUUUCAACGUCCACGUUUCAUAGGAUGAAACGUUUUCUAACGAGUACUGUAUAACGGAUAGGAACACUGUAGCCACCGUAGUCUUAGUCGCAAAUCAUGAUCACCGUCCGAUGAAUCAAGUGUAGCAUCGGCUGAACACGGUUCAUACCGACUUCGUGAGUACACGUACGUUCGAACCAGGGCACGACUGUACUAUCCCCUAUCGUUGAGGUGAGAGAAACGCUGUAAAGUUUCACAAGAACUACUGCUACUUCUUUGAUACCUACUCAGGCUCAGAUAGUAUUGACUUCGAAUCAGCCAGUACGCCACUUCUUUCUUCUACUACGGAUCUUCUUAUGGAAGGAAGUGAACAUUACUCUUAACACUACAUGAAUACAGAGGACCGACAUCCUUUGAUUCCGACUAUUUAAGACAACCCGAUAAAGAUACGAUAAAACAUUCUUUAAUUCUGAUACUUUAAUACAACCCGAGGAUACAGUAAGACACUCCUUGAUUCCGACUCUUUAAAGAUGAAUACGAAUAAACUACAAGACUAUACAGUAAGACACUCUUAGACUUACGAAUAAAGUAGACCACG
rnacentral:rRNA from 1 species